CCUACGGGAGGCAGCAGUGAGGAAUAUUGGUCAAUGGACGCAAGUCUGAACCAGCCAUGCCGCGUGCAGGAAGACGGCUCUAUGAGUUGUAAACUGCUUUUGUACGAGGGUAAACGCAGAUACGCGUAUCUGUCUGAAAGUAUCGUACGAAUAAGGAUCGGCUAACUCCGUGCCAGCAGCCGCGGGAACACGGAGGAUUCAAUCGUUAUCCGGAUUUAGUUGGUUUAAAGGGUACGUAGGCGGGCGGGUAAGUUAGAGGUGAAAUUCCGAGGCUCAACUUCGGAAUUGCCUCGGAUACUGUUCGGCUAGAGAGUAGUAGCGGUAGGCGGAAUGUAUGGUGUAGCGGUGAAAUGCUUAGAGAUCAUACAGAACACCGAUUGCGAAGGCAGCUUACCAAGCUACUUCUGACGUUGAGGCACGAAAGCGUGGGGAGCAAACAGGAUUAGAUACCCUUGUAGUC
rnacentral:rRNA from 1 species